UGGGGAAUAUUGCACAAUGGGCGAAAGCCUGAUGCAGCGACGCCGCGUGAGGGAUGACGGCCUUCGGGUUGUAAACCUCUUUCAGUAGGGACGAAGCGCAAGUGACGGUACCUGCAGAAGAAGCACCGGCUAACUACGUGCCAGCAGCCGCGGUAAUACGUAGGGUGCGAGCGUUGUCCGGAAUUACUGGGCGUAAAGAGCUCGUAGGCGGUUUGUCACGUCGUCUGUGAAAUCCUAGGGCUUAACCCUGGACGUGCAGGCGAUACGGGCUGACUUGAGUACUACAGGGGAGACUGGAAUUUCUGGUGUAGCGGUGGAAUGCACAGAUAUCAGGAAGAACACCGAUGGCGAAGGCAGGUCUCUGGGUAGUAACUGACGCUGAGGAGCGAAAGCAUGGGUAGCGAAGAGG
rnacentral:rRNA from 1 species